CCUACGGGAGGCAGCAGUGGGGAAUCUUGCGCAAUGGGGGAAACCCUGACGCAGCAACGCCGCGUGGGUGAUGAAGGCCUUCGGGUCGUAAAGCCCUGUCAGGUGGAAAGAAACAUGUGAAUGCGAAUACUAUUCACACUUGACGGUACCACCGGAGGAAGCACCGGCUAACUCCGUGCCAGCAGCCGCGGUAAUACGGAGGGUGCAAGCGUUGUUCGGAAUUAUUGGGCGUAAAGCGCGUGUAGGCGGUUAGGUAAGUCAGAUGUAAAAGCCUUCGGCUUAACAGAAGAAGUGCAUUGGAAACUGCUUAGCUAGAGUACGGAAGAGGAGAGUGAAAUUCCCGGUGUAGAGGUGAAAUUCGUAGAUAUCGGGAGGAACACCAGUGGCGAAGGCGGCUCUCUGGUCCGAUACUGACGCUGAGACGCGAAAGCGUGGGGAGCAAACAGGAUUAGAUACCCUUGUAGU
rnacentral:rRNA from 1 species